AUAAUUGUUUGUUAAUCAUCAAAAUAACACUAUCAUCCUCAAUCUCCCCCUUUUUGAUGAUUACAAAAUAAAGAGUAUGAACCUUUUGAUACUUAUUUUAAAAUCAGUUUUUUGAAAGGGCUUAACUUGCUGAAUUUCAGCUUUUCAUAUAUAAGAGUGAAGUCUCCCCCUAUAUCAUUCAAAUGUUGCCAAUUUGACUUUUUGAAUUACUCCCCCUUUCAUUUAUAAUUCAUUAAAAAUGAAACUCCAAAAAUUUGAGAUAAAAUAUGAGUUUCAGGUUAUGUAUCGAGGUGUGAAAGGUGCGUGCCAAAUUCUGAAAUUAUAUGUGCCAAAUUCUGAAAUUUGAUAUAAAUUUUUGACUUGAUCAUUUUCAUUGUUGCAAAUUGCUCCCCCUUGGAUGUAUAUACUUUCCUAUAUGAUUUUCAAUUUGUUUUACAAAUUAUUUCUCUUUCUUUCUUUACUUCUCCUCUUAUUACUCUAUCUUUACUUCUCCCCUAUUACUCUUUCUUAACUUCUCCCCCUUUUUGUUACUCUAUUUACUCUAUCUUUACUUCUCCCCUAUUACUCUUUCUUUACUUCUCCCCCUUUUUGUUAUCAUCAAAUAGGUACAUGGGAAAAGACGCAAUAACAACCAUUGAAACUUCAUUGAUCAAAAUAGGAACAUUUUAGUACAAUCAUGCCAAAAACAAAAGCAAAUACAAUGUUCCUCAAUCAAGGUUCAAAAUACAUGAUCAACACAAAAUACAUAUGAGAACUAGAUACAUAUCCUAGGCUCUAAACAAGAUCGUGAGACUCUCCCGGAUCGCUUGGCUACGGCUCUCUUGGGUUCCAUUUCUCCAAGAUCUUGAAGUAAUCUACUGUUUGGAGAUGAUUGGAGAAGAUUUGAGAGUGGGGAAUAGGGUUUUCAGAAGAGGACAAAGGGUAAACAGUGCCCUAGAUAGCUCACGGGUCCCCCUUUUAACAGUGGGGUCCCGACGUUGGGUCGACUCAAGAAUUUUCUUGCGUCGACUCAACGUUGGGUCGACCCUAUUCUGGGUUGGGUCGACCCAAGUUCAGAAAUUUUUCCUUUC
rnacentral:lncRNA from 1 species